UACGGGGGGUGCGAGCGUUGUCCGGAAUCACUGGGCGUAAAGGGCGCGUAGGUGGCUUGAUAAGUGUGUGGUGAAAGCCCGGGGCUCAACCCCGGGUCUGCCAUGCAGACUGUCAGGCUCGAGUGCUGUAGGGGCAGGCGGAAUUCCGGGUGUAGCGGUGGAAUGCGUAGAUAUCAGGAGGAACACCUGCGGUGUAGACGGCUUACUGGACCAUCACUGACGCUGAGGCACGAAAGCGUGGGUAGCAAACAGG
rnacentral:rRNA from 1 species